rnacentral:piRNA from 1 species
UUCGCAUUUUCUUCAGCUCUU